rnacentral:lncRNA from 1 species
UCUCAGCUUAUUGCCGCCGCCGCAGUUGUCCGUCAUUGUCCAGUCCUUUUGCCCGAACAAGUCCGCCACUAGCCUACUGCCGAGUCUGACCCCCAAGUCAUUUGCCCACAUUGCUUGUCAUUGAAUGCCUCGCCUUGCCAUGCCUUGUAUUCCUAUGCCUUGCCCCUGCUUGACAUAGCUUUGCCGCACAAGUACUUUGCCAACCCGCGCGCCUAAGUUAGAUGCGCCUUGAUUCCGUCCAAGGUGCCUUUGUCAUGCCCCGCAUUGUCCGUCAUGCCGAGCUGCCGUCAUGAUGUUGCCCCAAUUUUAAGGGUCGUGCAACAAGUCCAUCAUGCAAAUUCUUGUCACAACCCACACCUGCC